rnacentral:rRNA from 1 species
AUUGAACGCUAGCGGGAUGCUUUACACAUGCAAGUCGAACGAGUGGCGGACGGGUGAGUAAUAUAUCGGAACGUGCCCAGUAGCGGGGGAUAACUACUCGAAAGAGUGGCUAAUACCGCAUACUAUUUGAGCGGCCGAUAUCGGAUUAGCUAGUUGGUGGGGUAAAGGAUCACCAAGGCAACGAUCCGUAGCUGGUUUGAACGGACGACCAGCCACACUGGGACUGAGACAGGGCCCAGACUCCUCCGAGAGGCAGGAGUGGGGAAGUUUGGACAAUGGGGGAAACCCUGAUCCAGCCAUCGCGCGUGUAUGAGAAGGCCUUCGGGUUGGAAAGUACUUUUGGCAGAGAAGCGGUAUCUGCAGAAUAAGCACCGGCUAACUACGUGACAGCCGCCGCGGUAAUUC